AAGGGAGACCUAAUUCGGGUAGAAGACGAAAAAAUAGUAGUCGAAACCAAGAAUCAAUCCCAAAAGGUCGGAACGAGGUAUGUGGCUUUCAAACUAGGUUCUGGGUUCACAAAAGACCUGAAUCAGGAACAAGGGCUAUUAGCUCAGGUGGUUAGAGCGCACCCCUGAUAAGGGUGAGGUCCCUGGUUCGAGUCCAGGAUGGCCCACCUGCACAGGUGGCAAAAACAAGAGAGACGAGGAAUCAGCACCUUAUCUUACUUACAUAGUAAGAGAGAAUGCUGGCUCUGAGUAAAGAGUCCAGAGGAACCUUGAAAACUGCAUAGAGCUAGGUGAAAAAGCCAAAAAAGAAGACCGCAA
rnacentral:tRNA from 1 species